ACAAUAUCAGUUGAUUAGUUAAGAAUCUGUUUUUUAUCAACCACAAAAGAAUAAUUUCACACAAUUGUGGCACGUUUCAACUCCAUUGUUCCCAUUUCCAAUUCAGGAUUAAUCAUAACAUUCACUAUCAAAAACAGAAACCAAAAUACCAGGAGGUCUUGAAAUGACACCAACAUAAUCAAAAGUUACAACAUACUUGGGAGGUGCGAACCCACUUUGAGAAAAGUUCACAUGCUUCUGUUUAAUGGUGGGUGAAAUUGAAGGCAUGGCAGCUCACCAUUGGGCGUUUGUGAAUUUCACCAUAGACAAAGUUUCCUGUAUUACUGAGAAGACAUGGACAAGUACUGGGAAGGUGGUAUAGACAAUCAUUUUCCCAGAAAAUUUAUGGAAAGGCUGUUCAUUUGUGCUCCAUCCCUUUCAUCCACGUGUCCAAUCAACUUCUUCUACGUCAAAAAGGGAUUGCAAUAAUUGUAUGUCAUUGCCUUUAACAUGAAACUUCACUGUGUAAACUGCUGAAAGCCAUUACAGGCCAUGUUACACCUAACUCAAUCAGAGCCCAGAUGUAUAUACAUUUUGGGCAGAUAAUGAAUGAUGACCCAUCAUGAGGUCAAUUUUUUUUUUGUGUCAAAGAUAGAAAUGUAUUGCAUAGGAUUAGAAAAUAUAGGCCUAAGUUCUACUGCAACCCAAACAGCUAGCCAAACCAAACAGGACCAAGCCCUUACAAUCAAACCCAGGCAGAAAACAUAGGCCCAUAAGCUCAUGAACAGUGAAACCAUACCAACCUAAACUAGAAGGAAGCUUGAAGCGUUGCCGGUGAGAGAGGGUUGAAGCAGCACGACUGAGAAGAGGCAAGGUGUUCUAUAGCUGAGUCUAUUCCACCAUCAAAAUAAGAGAAGCUCAACAAACUCAAAGAUGAUAACAAAAACUACCGAUGGCCUUUACUGAGAGAACAUGAAAGCUCAAGGUUGUAUACAAAUUGCAUGUCCGAAGGAAAUAAAGAAGAAGUGAAGCCCCAACUCAAACAAGGAUCACCAUCCACAAGCACCCUUACCAGCUUCAAAGUUCAAACAACCAAGAAAAGAAAGGAAGGGGGAUGAGGUAUCGCUCACGGUUUAUUUUUUGCGUUAAGGGUCAGAGAUUCAUAGAGGCGACUGCAACAUGAGAGCAUCUAAUAGGUCACCAAACCCAGAAAACCGCUCCAGAUUAAGCCUCCUUAAGCCUGAAACAGAAGCAGAUCAAGAAGGUGAAGCUCUCAUGCAGAUUUGCAAACAAGAAAAGGAAAAAGAACACAUCAUGCAGAAUCAAAGUAAGUUCUCUCUUCAAUGCCCUGAUCUGCCAAGAAACCAGAAGAAACUAUCAACAUUCCACCCAAUGAUGGGGAGGACGACUCGCAACCAGGUGGAGAGCAACCUUCUCUUGCUCGGAGACCUGCAAAGAAACUAGGACAGAAGCCUAGAGAAAAACUCCAGAAGGGGGGAUUCUCUCUCUACACUAGAAACAACUAAUUUUACCAAAAGCAUGUCAAUAAUAAAUAUGGCUCUUGGAUAUAUCUUGUCAACUAUGAAUCAUUAAGAUAACUAUCAUAGUACAAAAUGUGAAAAUGCAUAGUUUGAAAAAAGAAAUAAUUUGUAAAACAAAAUUCAAAUGAAUUUUCAAUUAAUCAUACAUGGCUUUUAUUCUUUAAAAAAAUUAUUUUUUAACAUGGGAUAAGAAAUAAUGCCUCAAAUGCUGCAUUGUAAUUUGAAACUAUAUGCGGACAUGGUAGCUCUGAAUUGAUAAUCAU
rnacentral:lncRNA from 1 species